UGGGGAAUAUUGGACAAUGGGGGCAACCCUGACCCAGCAAUGCCGCGUGUGUGAAGAAGGUCUUCGGAUUGUAAAGCACUUUCGACGGGGACGAUGAUGACGGUACCCGUAGAAGAAGCCCCGGCUAACUUCGUGCCAGCAGCCGCGGUAAUACGAAGGGGGCUAGCGUUGCUCGGAAUGACUGGGCGUAAAGGGCGUGUAGGCGGUUUACACAGUCAGAUGUGAAAUCCCCGGGCUUAACCUGGGAGCUGCAUUUGAUACGUGUAGACUAGAGUGUGAGAGAGGGUUGUGGAAUUCCCAGUGUAGAGGUGAAAUUCGUAGAUAUUGGGAAGAAC
rnacentral:rRNA from 1 species